rnacentral:rRNA from 1 species
CCUACGGGCGGCAGCAGUGAGGAAUAUUGGUCAAUGGGCGCGAGCCUGAACCAGCCAAGUCGCGUGACGGAUGACUGCCCUACGGGUUGUAAACUUCUUUUAUAAAGGAAUAAAGUGAGGCACGUGUGCCUUUUUGUAUGUACUUUAUGAAUAAGGAUCGGCUAACUCCGUGCUAGCAGCCGCGGUAAUACGGAGGAUCCGAGCGUUAUCCGGAUUUAUUCGGUUUAAAGGGAGCGUAGAUGGGUUGUUAAGUCAGUUGUGAAAGUUUGCGGCUCAACCGUAAAAUUGCAAUUGAUACUGGCAGCCUUGAGUACAGGUGAGGUAGGCGGAAUUCGUGGUGUAGCGGUGAAAUGCUUAGAUAUCACGAAGAACUCCGAUUGCGAAGGCAGCCUACUAAACUGCCACUGACAUUGAUGCUCGAAAGUGUGGGUAUCAAACAGGAUUAGAUACCCGUGUAGUC